UCGAGAAUCUUCCGCAAUGGACGCAAGUCUGACGGAGCGACGCCGCGUGCGGGAUGAAGGCCUUCGGGUUGUAAACCGCUGUCAGUGGGGAGCAAAUGCAUCAGGGCUAUCCCUGGUGUUUGAGCGAUCCGCAGAGGAAGUACGGGCUAAGUUCGUGCCAGCAGCCGCGGUAACACGAACCGUACGAACGUUAUUCGGAAUCACUGGGCUUAAAGAGUCCGUAGGCGGUUUGGUAGGUGAGGUGUGAAAUCCCACGGCUCAACCGUGGAAUUGCGCUUCAAACCACUAGGCUAGAGGGAGAUAGAGGAGAGCGGAACUGAUGGUGGAGCGGUGAAAUGCGUUGAUAUCAUCAGGAACACCGGUGGCGAAAGCGGCUCUCUGGGUCUCUUCUGACGCUGAGGGACGAAAGCUAGGGGAGCGAACGGGAUUAGAUACCCCCGUAGUCC
rnacentral:rRNA from 1 species